UAGUCGGAGGUGUGUCUCGGACGGUCGGUUCGCCGCUUGUCGGUGCUCAACUGGCCGGUCCGGACGUCCUGCCGGUGGGGCCGCGAGGCCCCGUUGUCCUUCUUUGGUCCUCUUCACCGAGUGCCUUGGUGGGCCGGCACGUUUACUUUGAACAAAUUAGAGUGCUCAAAGCAGGCCGUUGGUCGCCUGAAUACUGUGUGCAUGGAAUAAUGGAAUAGGACCUCGGUUCCAUUUUGUUGGUUUUCAGAACUCGAGGUAAUGAUUAAUAGGGACGGACGGGGGCAUUCGUAUUGCGACGUUAGAGGUGAAAUUCUUGGAUCGUCGCAAGACGAACCGAUGCGAAAGCAUUUGCCAAGAACGUUUUCGUUGAUCAAGAACGAAAGUUAGAGGUUCGAAGGCGAUCAGAUACCGCCCUAGUUCUAACCAUAAACGAUGCCAGCUAGCCAUCCGCCGAAGUUCCUACUAUGACUCGGCGGGCAGCUUCCGGGAAACCAAAGCUCUUGGGUUCCGGGGGAAGUAU
rnacentral:rRNA from 1 species